ACGUACACUCCUACGGGAGGCAGCAGUGAGGAAUAUUGGACAAUGGGUGGAAGCCUGAUCCAGCCAUCCCGCGUGCAGGAAGACGGCCCUAUGGGUUGUAAACUGCUUUUAUCUGGGGAUAAACCUACUUACGUGUAAGUAGCUGAAGGUACCAGAAGAAUAAGCACCGGCUAACUCCGUGCCAGCAGCCGCGGUAAUACGGAGGGUGCAAGCGUUAUCCGGAUUUAUUGGGUUUAAAGGGUCCGUAGGCGGACUGAUAAGUCAGUGGUGAAAUCCGACAGCUUAACUGUCGAACUGCCAUUGAUACUGUUAGUCUUGAGUAAGGUUGAAGUGGCUGGAAUAAGUAGUGUAGCGGUGAAAUGCAUAGAUAUUACUUAGAACACCAAUUGCGAAGGCAGGUCACUAAGUCUUAACUGACGCUGAUGGACGAAAGCGUGGGGAGCGAACAGGAUUAGAAACCCUGGUAGUCCC
rnacentral:rRNA from 1 species